rnacentral:lncRNA from 1 species
AGGGCGGAUGAGCCGCCAUUGCCUUAACCCUUGUGUUUCAUUUAACCCUCAUGCAAGGAUCAAAAAGAUGGCAGCAGUGGCAUGAAGAAGUAGAAGACGGAUUGUGUGGAGCUGAAUGUGUUGCUGUGUUUAAAUUAGCAUUUAUAUAAAGAGAAUCCUUUAUUUGUUUUAUAAUCAUAGUUGAAGGAAAGAUCUCUAAUGAAAUACGAUUGAGGAAUGACAUGAAGAGGGAAGCAUAUCCUUAAAUAGCCAAUACAUGGAACUUAGUGGAGGUGAUAUUUAGUUUGGAUUCCAAGAACAUAGAAAUAAACGUGUCAUUACAAGGUUAUCACUGAUUCUAAAGUAGUUGCUUGGAUUUGAGUAUAGUAAAGGUACAUUAAUUAUUACUCUAGCGCUGUAUGCCUACAUUAGGAGGUGGAACUUCUAUGGUUCGAAUUCACUAGGCUAGCAAGAAUCAUUUUCUUGGCCAUCCCUAUCAAAUUUUGGCAUAUUCCACUUAUUCUUUAAUCCAUGUUGAAUUCGGUUGCAAAGAUAAUCCUUGGCAUUUUGUGGUGUGACAACCCAAGUGGAUGGGCUUAGUGUCUCAAAAUGGUGGGAGGUUGUCACCAUGUGAUGAUGGAAGGGCCUUGGGUUUGCUAUGCCCGUGCUACGGGCAAACCGCAUUAUCCUUAAGAGGGAUUCGGCUACUAUCAUUAGAUGGACAUCAAGGCCAGUGGUCCACGGCAAGGGGGUGGUCCCUCAUCUCAGAAAUACUUGGAGUAUGGUUAGAAGACUUGAUGACUUUUAGGCAGUCCAUAUCUACCAUAAGGUCUGACUAGGUUGCUUCUUACGUCGCCAAGCAUACUGGAGACAUCAGAUGGGAGACUA